GCAGCAUUAACAGGAGUGAGCAACAGCUGCAGCAGUCGGUGCCUGAGGAAACUGCACGGGAAACAAAGCAAAUGUGUGCAUAACCCUCCUUGGGGCAUUCAGACACAACACAAAACGUGGACAAAAGAGGUAACGCAGCAACACCAACAUAUUGUUCACUUGGUUUAUUUUGUACAUCUGCUUCAUAAAUUACUUGCAUGAGGCCAAGAUCAGCUGUGGAAGGGAUCAGAAGAGCACGAGGCAGGCUGUGUGUGAAGCACGAUGUUCACAACCAAGUGGUCACAACUGUCCGUGGCAGAAUUAGGGACACCACAGCCUCUUGUAGAAUCUGCACUGAGCAUUUCAAGUUCACCUCAAAGCAGGCUUCUCAGCAGAAGGCUCCAGAACACUCAAUCCAGCAGUACAUCUCCGUCAGAGGGCAGCUCAGUCUUCAGCCUUAUACUUCCCACCGAUGUAGGGGACGUACUGAAGGACGAGUUUCCAGUCUGUGAUCCAUACCAAACCGGUGCCACCUACGGCUCCCCACGUAACGAGGGUGGGAGUCCAGUUCUGCAGGAGCUGAACGUACCGCGGCCCCACCAGCUUGCUCAGCAUCGCGCCGCCUCAAAGUC
rnacentral:lncRNA from 1 species